rnacentral:miRNA from 1 species
ACCCCAAUAAUUCCAUAUCGGAUA